UUUUCCAGAGGCAGAUUAUCUACGUAGUUUGUUUCAGGAUAACAAAGCACAUUAUUUGUUUCUUUAAAAGAGGCAUCUUGUGACAUAGCAUGGAGAACUCGUGACUUCAGUGAGUUCAACAUUCUCUUUGUCACCUUCCGGUGGACCUUCCAGCCAGAGGAAACUCUGUGGUCAAUUCUACCCAAUGAUACCCGAACAGAAGCAUUUGAAAGUGGUCCUGAUGCUGGACUUGCUUUUGCUGUUCACAAUCAUAUGAGCAAGUCCAAGUCCAUCACUGAGCAGCUGACCCAAAACCACACCACCACCAGUCCUGAUAAUUAUUCCUGUCCUCCUUGACACCUACCAUACCACCCUGCACAGAGAACAUGCGUGCAGCCCUCUUCUCUCCAUUCAGUAACUAAGGCAUGCUCUUCUCGGGGCUCCUCACCCACAGGGCACCAGGGCAGAUGACGCCACAUCCAUGCUCUGCUCGAUCCAGCCCCGCAGAUACUACACUUGUUUUCCAUCUCCCCUCUGCCUCCAGCUCUCGCUCACAGAGCCAACCAUAAUGAAGUGUCACAGGCAGCACAUGAAAGACAGGAGCACAGCUAGAUCAGCACUGCAGGGAAAAGACUCUAAUGAGUUUGGAGCAGAAAGAUAAACACCAAGUGACAGAGACGGCGAUGAGAAAACCCUCCGAAAGUUGUCUCUGUGUAGUCUGCUUUGCAAGUCACAUUCCUCACUUGAUGGAAGCUGGAGAGAAGAAACAUGGAAGGAGGAAAAUCACAGUGACCAUUCCCCUGAGAUGGGAAUGAAACAAGGACCAAGUUACCUGAGCCAUCUUUUUGGAAAUCAUCUUGGUCUCUGCAUCGAAGAACCCUACAAUCCUGUUCCAGGAACUUUGUUCCAAUGUCUGUUUCCAAACUAGAAAGCACAUGACUUGACCACCGGGCAUGUCUGUACUAAGUCCAAGUCGAGGGCAAGGGGGGCUCUGCCUGGGCUAUCACUCCUGCUGCCCCAUCAAUUAGUGAAGUCUAAUCAACCCAGAAAUCCAGCAAAAAGAGGUCAGCCAAGUAGCUAAGUCCAGACUGCAAUAAAUCUGCUUCUAGUUACUUUUCUUUCUUGUUCCAAACUCAUUUAGGUGCAGAUUUUUAACAAACACAGGUGCAA